rnacentral:rRNA from 1 species
GAUGAACGCUGGCGGCGUGCCUAAUACAUGCCAGUCGAGCGAACAGACGAGGAGCUUGCUCCUCUGACGUUAGCGGCGGACGGGUGAGUAACACGUGGAUAACCUACCUAUAAGACUGGGAUAACUUCGGGAAACCGGAGCUAAUACCGGAUAAUAUAUUGAACCGCAUGGUUCAAUAGUGAAAGACGGUUUUGCUGUCACUUAUAGAUGGAUCCGCGCCGCAUUAGCUAGUUGGUAAGGUAACGGCUUACCAAGGCAACGAUGCGUAGCCGACCUGAGAGGGUGAUCGGCCACACUGGAACUGAGACACGGUCCAGACUCCUACGGGAGGCAGCAGUAGGGAAUCUUCCGCAAUGGGCGAAAGCCUGACAGAGCAACGCCGCGUGAGUGAUGAAGGUCUUCGGAUCGUAAAACUCUGUUAUUAGGGAAGAACAAAUGUGUAAGUAACUAUGCACGUCUUGACGGUACCUAAUCAGAAAGCCACGGCUAACUACGUG